ACGAAAGUAGGCUUCCGCAAGGACACCUGUAGAGGUGCUGCAUGGCUGUCGUCAGCUCGUGUCGUGAGAUGUUGGGUUAAGUCCCGCAACGAGCGCAACCCUUGUCUUCUGUUGCCAUCGGGUUAUGCCGGGCACUCUGAAGAGACUGCCGGUGACAAACCGGAGGAAGGUGGGGAUGACGUCAAGUCAGCAUGGCCUUUAUGUCUGGGGCCACACACGUGCUACAAUGGCCGGUACAAACCGUCGCGAUCUCGCGAGAGGGAGCUAAUCGGAGAAAGCCGGUCUCAGUUCGGAUUGUAGGCUGCAAGAGAGACUGCAUGAAGUUGGAAUCGCUAGUAAUCGCGGAUCAGCACGCCGCGGUGAAUACGUUCCCGGGCCUUGUACACACCGCCCGUCACAUCACGAAAGCCGGCUGUAC
rnacentral:rRNA from 1 species